rnacentral:rRNA from 1 species
UACGUAGGGUGCGAGCGUUGUCCGGAAUUAUUGGGCGUAAAGAGCUCGUAGGCGGUUUGUCACGUCUGCUGUGAAAUCCCGAGGCUCAACCUCGGGCCUGCAGUGGGUACGGGCAGACUGGAGUGCGGUAGGGGAGAAUGGAAUUCCUGGUGUAGCGGUGGAAUGCGCAGAUAUCAGGAGGAACACCGAUGGCGAAGGCAGUUCUCUGGGCAACAACUGACGCUGAGGAGCGAAAGCGUGGGGAGCGAACAGG